AAUUGACGGGACCCGCACAAGCAGCGGAGCGUGUGGUUUAAUUCGAGGCUACACGAAGAACCUUACCAGGGUUUGACAUGCAAGUGGUAGGAAUCCGAAAGGUGACCGACCCUUCGGGGAGCUUGCACAGGUGCUGCAUGGCUGUCGUCAGCUCGUGUCGUGAGAUGUUCGGUUAAGUCCGCUAACGAGCGCAACCCUCGUCGUGUGUUAUACGUGUCACACGAUACUGCCGGUAUCAAGCCGGAGGAAGGUGGGGAUGAUGUCAAGUCAGCAUGGCCUUUAUAUCCUGGGCUACACACACGCUACAAUGGCAGAUACAAUAGGUUGCGAAACCGCGAGGUGGAGCCAAUCCUCAAAGUCUGUCUCAGUUCAGAUUGCAGUCUGCAACUCGACUGCAUGAAGCCGGAGUUGCUAGUAACCGCAGGUCAGCAAUACUGCGGUGAAUACGUUCCCGGGUCUU
rnacentral:rRNA from 1 species